rnacentral:rRNA from 1 species
UGGACAUGCGUGUGAUUAGGUAGUUGGUGAGGUAACGGCUCACCAAGCCGACGAUCAGUAGGGGUUCUGAGAGGAUGAUCCCCCACACUGGAACUGAGACACGGUCCAGACUCCUACGGGAGGCAGCAGUGAGGAAUAUUGGACAAUGGAUGGAAAUCUGAUCCAGCCAUGCCGCGUGCAGGAAGACGGCCCUAUGGGUUGUAAACUGCUUUUAUACGGGAGCAAUAAGGUCUACGAGUAGGCCGAUGAGAGUACCGUAGGAAUAAGCACCGGCUAACUCCGUGCCAGCAGCCGCGGUAAUACGGAGGGUGCAAGCGUUAUCCGGAUUUAUUGGGUUUAAAGGGUGCGUAGGCGGUCUAUUAAGUCAGCGGUGAAAGUUUUCAGCUUAACUGGAAAAAUGCCGUUGAUACUGAUAGGCUAGAAUAUGGUUGCUGUGGGUGGAAUGUGUGGUGUAGCGGUGAAAUGCUUAGAGAUCACACAGAAUAUCGAUUGCGAAGGCAACUCACAAAGCCAUUAUUGACGCUGAUGCACGAAAGUGUGGGGAUCAAACAGGAUUAGAUACCCUGGUAGUCCACACUGUAAACGAUGAUAACUAGCUGUCGGCGAUACACAGUCGGUGGCCAAGCGAAAGCGAUAAGUUAUCCACCUGGGGAGUACGACCGCAAGGUUGAAACUCAAAGGAAUUGACGGGGGCCCGCACAAGCGGAGGAACAUGUGGUUUAAUUCGAUGAUACGCGAGGAACCUUACCCGGGCUCGAACGGUGCAGGAAUUAUGCCGAAAGGUAUAAGCCAGCAAUAGUCUGUAUCGAGGUGCUGCAUGGUUGUCGUCAGCUCGUGCCGUGAGGUGUCGGCUUAAGUGCCAUAACGAGCGCAACCCUUGUCGUUAGUUACCAUCAAGUAAAGUUGGGGACUCUAGCGAGACUGCCACCGUAAGGUGUGAGGAAGGGGGGGAUGACGUCAAAUCAGCACGGCCCUUACGUCCGGGGCGACACACGUGUUACAAUGGUAGGUACAGAGGGCCGCUAUCCAGCGAUGGAAUGCUAAUCUCAAAAACCUAUCUCAGUUCGGAUCGGAGUCUGCAACUCGACUCCGUGAAGUUGGAUUCGCUAGUAAUCGCGCAUCAGCCAUGGCGCGGUGAAUACGUUCCCGGGCCU